UGGCCAUGCAUACUCAGAGUGUUUUCACAGAUGGUGAUAGAUGUUAAUACAGUGUCCACCCCAGUCCAGUCCACAUGUCCAUAUGGUUUCAUACAUGACA